GGCCCGGUGCUCAGCAGCCCCCCGCGGCCGGGCUCCGCCGCCGCCCUCCCCGGGAGCUCCCCCGCCGCCGCCAACUGCUCCGCGGGGAGACGCCGCGCCCUGCGCCGCCUUCCCAUUGGUUCAGAGCGCUGUCGGACUCUUCUAACGACAGCGACCGGCGUGCCCGGGGCAUGGACCGACAGUCACGCAGCCCCUGCGCCUCCACCGUGGCGAAUGGUUGCCCACUGGCACCUUAGCAGUGGCCACUUGUCCUCUUGAGUAUCCACACGGGGCUUUUGUCAACCUGCUGAAGGUGUUGGUACCAAUGAAAACUACCCCUCUCCUUAAGAAGAAAACAGAAAAUAAAUAAAAAGCAACACUGUGAGCUUCAGGAGGUGCCCAGGUGCUUUGAGAAAAGGCAGCAGAAGCCCAGCUCUGCACCCUCAGUGGCAACGCUGCUGCUUUUCAGGGAGGUGACCCAAAUGUAGGGCGUUUUCCUGUAAGCCUUAGCAGACAAGGGGCUGCUGCCAGCUGGGCAUUGCGUCCUCAGGCAGCCCCACUACGACAGGCACACCAGGCUCUCCGGAGAAGCACUGGAGCUCUUGGCAGAAUCUGGGCUGAUUUUUCCACCCCAAUUCACGCUGUGCUUUUGACACAACUACGAUGUCACGGGGAAAAAAAUCCUGCAUAAAUUGUUAAUGACGAUUCCCUUCCUGCAGUAAUUUGGGAAUAGUAUUUGUCGUAUCCUGGGGAAGCUCUGGAAAUUCCUUUCCUAUCACUUUGCUCAGUUUAUUUUUAUUUAAUCUCGGAUAUUUCUUAAUAUUUUAUGUAUGUGUAACAGACAAAGCAACCGAGUUGGCAUCGAAGCCGUCCAGGCUGCCACUAGAGGGCAAAGCAAGCUAAAUCAUUUUCAUCUCUAGAGCAACAAAGAAAACAGCGUCAUCCCCAGCUGGCCUCCGCUCCCCACAGAAGGGGCUGGUUUCCCUGCGUCAGCUCCUCGGGGAGCUGUGGCCAAAAAGCCAGCGCCGAGGGGAAGUUCCAGCGUUAUCAGCCCGCAGCCCACGGAGGAUGUGCCUGCCGCCAGUGCCAGUCACCGUGACUCGGCGCGCAGCGUCGGCCUGCCGAGUGCUCCAGAGAGAGCAGCAGGGCUCCUCCUCACACCAGCUGUGGAACCCAGUGACCCAAAUCUCAUCUCCCAGAGAGCGUCAGAGCAGCUCCUCAGAGCACAACCUUCUGACAGUGAAAUGUGAAACGGACAGCAAGAGAAAUAACGAGCAAGGCGCUGGGUGUGCUCAGAAAGGAAAAAAAAUCUUAAGAGUAAAUACAUCCAGUCUCCAUUAACACUUCAAAUCAGUUUCUUAAACAUCUUUUUAGGACUGGGUGCCUCUGAAUCUGACAGUUAAAUUUCUUUCAGACACACCACAAAGACACACUUGUUAAGUAUUUCCAACUGAGCACGAGUGAUUGCUGCGUGUCUCACUUUCCCACCUGUCAAAUUUGCGAUGAAGCAUCACAACAUUUACGCAGAUUGCUUCUCUACGAGAUGAAAUGCUGACAAUUUUGUUUCAGCCACUGUACCUCUCCCUCGGAAAGGAAGUAAAAAUAAAUGCCUUGAGGGUAACUGC